UUAAAUUGAAGAGUUUGAUCAUGGCUCAGAUUGAACGCUGGCGGCAGGCCUAACACAUGCAAGUCGAACGGUAACAGGAAGCAGCUUGCUGUUUCGCUGACGAGUGGCGGACGGGUGAGUAAUGUCUGGGAAACUGCCUGAUGGAGGGGGAUAACUACUGGAAACGGUAGCUAAUACCGCAUAACGUCGCAAGACCAAAGAGGGGGACCUUCGGGCCUCUUGCCAUCGGAUGUGCCCAGAUGGGAUUAGCUAGUAGGUGGGGUAACGGCUCACCUAGGCGACGAUCCCUAGCUGGUCUGAGAGGAUGACCAGCCACACUGGAACUGAGACACGGUCCAGACUCCUACGGGAGGCAGCAGUGGGGAAUAUUGCACAAUGGGCGCAAGCCUGAUGCAGCCAUGCCGCGUGUAUGAAGAAGGCCUUCG
rnacentral:rRNA from 1 species